rnacentral:rRNA from 1 species
AUUGAACGCUGGCGGAAUGCUUUACACAUGCAAGUCGAGCGGCAGCACGGGGGCAACCCUGGUGGCGAGCGGCGAACGGGUGAGUAAUACAUCGGAACAUGCCCAGUCGUGGGGGAUAACACUUCGAAAGAAGUGCUAAUACCGCAUACGUCCUGAGGGAGAAAGCGGGGGAUCUUCGGACCUCGCGCGAUUGGAGUGGCCGAUGUCAGAUUAGCUAGUUGGUGGGGUAAAGGCCUACCAAGGCAACGAUCUGUAGCAGGUCUGAGAGGAUGAUCAGCCAAACUGGGACGGGGACACGGCCCAGACUCCUACGGGAGGCAGCAGUGGGGAAUUUUGGACAAUGGGGGCAACCCUGAUCCAGCCAUUCCGCGUGAGUGAAGAAGGCCUUCGGGUUGUAAAGCUCUUUCGGCAGGAACGAAACGGCGAGCUCUAACAUAGCUUGCUAAUGACGGUACCUGAAGAAGAAGCACCGGCUAACUACGUGCCAGCAGCCGCCGUAACAC